GACGGAGAAGAAGGUUCGGGUGCGCUUUGCGCCUAACAGGGAACCCUGUGCAAGUCAGGGACGGACCCACCGCUGUAACCGGGGACCAAAGCCGCAUUCAGGCCACUGCCCCGCACUUACUUUUCUAUGGGUGUUUUUUCCUUGAAGAAAAAAGUAAGUGCGGGGCGGGAAGGCGCGGCAAGUAGAAAGAUCCGGAAGUCAGAAGACCUGCCUGAACCUCUUGAAGAAU
rnacentral:ncRNA from 2 species